GACAUAUGCACGUUUGCAGCACGACGUGACGCGGAGUCGAAAUACGCAACGAAUUUACGGCUGCUGUCCCUGAUUCAUAGCAAUAAAUGCAUACUGACAGUACAGUUCGUGUCGCAGUCACCAAGCGAAAGUCGCAUUCGUCAGCGUUCGAUCAGAUCACGCAGGGAGCGCCUCUCUACCAAGCGCAAGUGACCCAACCUGCCCGCUCACUUGCAAAGAACAAAGGCUAUGAACCUUGAACUCUGUCUCCAAGUUGUCUCUUAUCAGGCUUUUUGUGCUUGUAAGGAACGCAACGCUACGCCCAGCCUUGCCUGUGCAGUCUUUGGUGCAGGCGCACCUGCGGAAACCUCCCCAGUAGCGUAAACUGGUCGUAGCGUUCAAUACACGUCGACGUAUCGGGAUGCCCGACAAAGAGACACACGCUACUGCGCAAACGUUUUGUGAAACUUGUUUUCAAGCGUACACAAACGUUUCUUUCUAGAGCACGUGUUCAGGUGAACAGAUUCGCUUUGGUAUUAAAACCGUUCUUUAUAGAGCACGUGUUCAGGUGCUCACACAGGUGUCGGCAGGAACAAUUCUCAAAGUGCGCAAGCAGGUUUCUCUGUGAAGCACGUGUCCAGGUGCACAGACGAGUUUCGGUACAAAGUGCGCACUUGCGUUUCUCUUCAUAUAAGACGUCUUCAGGUGAAUAGACACGUUCUGGUAUACACACACGUUUCGGUGUGCGCAAGUUUGUGUUGGAACUUUGUGCAUCAAGUGGACGCUCUAUUGCCGCAAAAAACAUCAAACUUAUGACGCAGCCACCUUCUGCCAGUGCGGGUGAGGCUGAUGCCUUUCAGUCGCUUGUUCAGGAAGAGCUCGGAGAGAAUGCGUUCUCCACAAGCACGCCGGUGAACGAUGGCACCGGGGGCGGCGACGUUUUUCUGCCAAACGAAGGCGUCGAAAGUGACGCAAUCACCACGCUUCCGGUUUCUACGGCAGGCACGGUGCGUACACCUUUUGAUCAAGACGAAAAAGAGUUCCCUGUUGGAAGAUCAUCUGUCGAUGGGAAGCUAUGGAAGGGCGCUGGAGGUUCGACGUUUGCGAUCGAGGGCGACUCAACCAGUGGACGCGACGCUGUACAGGAGGCAUCUCGGGCGCGGGCACAGCGCAUCCGCGAACGCGAUGAAACUGAACGAGAAGUCCGUCAAAAGUCUCGCGAAGCAGCCGUGCAAGUGUGGGAAAAGAUGCACCAGGCCUGGGAGAAAACAUGCCAGGAGAAACGUGUCGAGACGAAGAAACGGCAAGACAAGCUUAGUGAAGAGCGUGAUGCGCUUUAUCAGGCCAUGCUUGAGAAUGGUGACAACAAUAAGCCAGCAUGGCACCUCGUUCGGGCACUGAUAGAGUCUAACAGUUCGGGAUUGGGAGCGGGCCGAUCACUCGGGACACCUGGCGGCAUGUCUGGACCCGGUGCUGCCAGUGCUGUUUCCGAGGAAGAUGGCAGUUACCGUAGCCUCCGUACUCGCAUGAAGGAUGUAAUCUAUAGCUCCGCCAGCGAAGCGAGCCCGAAGAGUCGUUGAUCUUACCAUCGUAUGUACGGUUACCGGCUGCCGCGGAAAGGUUCUCGCAUAAUACAUGAUGGAGAGCGAGGAGAAACUCUGCGUCUGGUGUCGGUGUCGGUGUCGGUGUCGUCUGCGGCUGGAAGAGCACAACGUGCGUGGUCUUGUGUCGGGAGCAAACGUCGGCGGACUAGCGUGUUCAAGGAACCUUUGGAAUAAGGAGGCACGAGAGACGAAGCAGGUGCAUUCCAAGGAAUACUUCAUUCUUUAGCACAGGCAACGUAUACGAGCUUGUUCUCAGAUGGCACCUAGGCGGUGUCGUAAGCGUCAAACACGAUCCUCCUGACAGCGACGAUGCCAGUACUGUCUCUUGCAGAGCACCUCUGACUUUGCAAGCACGUGGAUUCUCUCGAUAGCUCGUCCACGAUCGCGACGCCUGUAUAUCUCUUCUCUGGGAACAGCCAGGUCAGGUCUGCUUGAGGCCGCUCUAGGACACCCCAUUCUCGCAAUGGCGGAGAUUUCGUCACGAGUCCUGUACAACAUUGCGCCAUCGCUAUACCGUCGACUAGUGCUAUCGUAUGGGCCUCGUAUCGUUAGCGAGCACUCCAUCCGAACAGCCGCAUGACAAGUGAAGCGACCGAUCGAAAGCAGCCUUGCAUGGAGCUACGAAUCAGAGAAACCCCGAGGAACACGUAUACUUCCCGAAGAUAACAGCACACGCCAGUUUGCCUGGUAUCCUCCUUGCAUGCGAAACACACGACUCAGCACACACGAGAUGAUGGUGCACUGCUUUUGGAAGGGCAAAGAACACAAGCAAUGCGCUCGAAUGCAACUUGUAGCGUUUGCGUAUCCUCAACUGCCGAGAAGCAACAUCUAUACCACCCGGGUUCAGGAGCAUGGCAAACACGACCCGGAUAGAUCAACACUCGCGCUUCUCGAAAGAGUCGCUCAGCAAGUUCCAACUCCGCUUCCCAGGUCGCCUCGCGAAGAAAUCUCUGCAAGCCAAUCCAUACGAAGAAUCCAGCCUGGCUGGGAUAGAUGCGCACCUGCUCUGCCCCAAGACUGGUUUGAAUCGCUUGAACAGCCACCUGAUACGCUUCCUCUAGUCGUCGUUGGUUUGCGACGAAAAACUUGUGCAACCAUUGCUCGUCACUCAGCAUUCGGCAAAGCACUGCCUGCGUAUCCCGACUGGGCGACGAAAACAAACACGGUGCUCGAAUCGCCUGCAACAGAGCCUGGUUCUCCGUAAAGAGAACCCCACAUCGCAUGCCACUCAUACAGAGGUCCUUACUAAACGUCCAUACGAC